rnacentral:rRNA from 1 species
GACGAACGCUGGCGGCGUGCCUAACACAUGCAAGUCGAACGGCAAGGCCCUGCUUUUGUGCGCUGCUCGAGUGCCGAACGGGUGCGUAACACGUGUGUAACCUGCCCUUCACUUUGGGAUAUCUUCAGGAAACUGGGGCUACUACCGGACAGGAGCUCCCGCUGCAUGGUGGGGGUUGGAAAGUUUCGGCGGUUGGGGAUGGACGGGCGGCUUAUGAGUUUGCUGGUUGGGUAGUGGCUUACCAAGGCUUUGACGGGUCGCCGGCCUGAGAAGGUGACCGGGCACAUGGGGACUGAGAGAGGCACCAGACGGAUACAGUGGGCAGCGGGGGGAAGUAUGGUACAAGGAUCGGGAGCGGGAGGAGGAGACGCCGCGGGUGGGAUGCCGUCCUGCGGGGAAUGAACCGCAUUCGCCUGUGACGAAGCGGGUGUGACGGUAAUGGGUGAAGAAGCACCGGCUAACUUCGUG